CCUUCACGAAGUCGGAAUUGCUAGUAAUGGCAGGUCAGCAUACUGCCGUGAAUACGUUCCCGGGCCUUGUACACACCGCCCGUCACACCAUGAGAGUUAGGAAUACCCGAAGCCUGUGAGCCAACUUUAUAAGAGGCAGCAGUCGAAGGUAGAACUAAUGAUUGGGGUGAAGUCGUAACAAGGUAGC
rnacentral:rRNA from 1 species